rnacentral:rRNA from 1 species
UAAAAGACCUAGCAAUAGGUAUGCUUAGGGAGGAGCUUGCGUCACAUUAGUUAGUUGGUGGGGUAAAGGCCUACCAAGACUAUGAUGUGUAGCCGGGCUGAGAGGUUGAACGGCCACAUUGGGACUGAGACACGGCCCAAACUCCUACGGGAGGUAGCAGUAGGGAAUUUUCGGCAAUGGAGGAAACUCUGACCGAGCAACGCCGCGUGAACGAUGAAGUAUUUCGGUACGUAAAGUUCUUUUAUUAGGGAAGAAUAAAUGAUGGAAAAAUCAUUCUGACGGUACCUAAUGAAUAAGCCCCGGCUAACUAUGCGCCAGCAGCCGCGGUAAUACAUAGGGGGCAAGCGUUAUCCGGAAUUAUUGGGCGUAAAGGGUGCGUAGGCGGUUAAAUAAGUUUAUGGUCUAAGUGCAAUGCUCAACAUUGUGAUGCUAUAAAAACUGUUUAGCUAGAGUAAGAUAGAGGCAAGUGGAAUUCCAUGUGUAGUGGUAAAAUGCGUAAAUAUAUGGAGGAACACCAGUAGCGAAGGCGGCUUGCUGGGUCUUUACUGACGCUGAGGCACGAAAGCGUGGGGAGCAAACAGGAUUAGAUACCCUGGUAGUCCACGCCGUAAACGAUGAGUACUAAACGUUGGGUUAAACCAGUGUUGAAGUUAACACAUUAAGUACUCCGCCUGAGUAGUACGUACGCAAGUAUGAAACUUAAAGGAAUUGACGGGACUCCGCACAAGCGGUGGAUCAUGUUGUUUAAUUCGAAGGUACCCGAAAAGCCUUACCAGGUCUUGACAUGCUUCUGCAAAGCUGUAGAAACACAGUGGAGGUUAUCAGUUGCACAGGUGGUGCAUGGUUGUCGUCAGCUCGUGUCGUGAGAUGUUGGGUUAAGUCCCGCAACGAGCGCAACCCUUAUUGUUAGUUACCAGCACGUAAUGGUGGGGACUUUAGCAAGACUGCCAGUGAUAAAUUGGAGGAAGGUGGGGACGACGUCAAAUCAUCAUGCCCCUUAUGACCUGGGCUACAAACGUGAUACAAUGGCUGUUACAAAGGGUAGCUGAAGCGCAAGUUUUUGGCGAAUCUCAAAAAACAGUCUCAGUUCGGAUUG